UACGUAUGGCGCAAGCGUUGUCCGGAAUUAUUGGGCGUAAAGAGCUCGUAGGCGGCUUGUCACGUCGGGUGUGAAAGCUCGGGGCUUAACCCCGGGUCUGCAUUCGAUACGGGCUGGCUGGAGUGUGGUAGGGGAGAUCGGAAUUCCUGGUGUAGCGGUGAAAUGCGCAGAUAUCAGGAGGAACACCGGUGGCGAAGGCGGAUCUCUGGGCCAUUACUGACGCUGAGGAGCGAAAGCGUGGGGAGCGAACAGG
rnacentral:rRNA from 1 species